CUCUCCAUGGAGCACAAACUCAAAAAGAAUAAAAAAGAUGCUUUCGCUCAACUUUGAAAAAUUGAGGCAUUCAAACCCAGGGACAGGCAGACAACAAAAGCUGUGACGUGCUUAGAAAUCCAUGAAAAGACUCUCAAAAGAUACACAAAGACCACAGAAGCCCCAAACACAUGGAAAGUAUUUUGUGACUUCAGUGUCAUCAAGAGCCAAGCAAGCAAGAUUCGGGAGCAGCAUAAGUCUUAGCUGCGUUUACGGAUUCAUCGCAAGCACGUGUUCAUACAGGAUUUCCUUCGCCAGGGCGAGUGGAACAAGGAUUGGCUGCUCAAGCAAUCUCCGUGCAAAAAAAAAAGUCACCCAAACCCCUCCUCACAGAGGAGGGUGCAGAGGAACCAAGGCUCAGCCCCAACCAAGGGGCUGGAACAAAUCCAGAGAUGCAGGACCUCUUUGCUGUUUCUAUCUGCGGCUGAGAAACCACAUAUUCUAGGGAAUUGUGUGAAUUCAUAUUGUUACAGAAGUUUGAUAGACUCCUUAAGCGACCUAUUGGCAGUUAAAUAUCAGCAAAAAUUGGGAUUCUGAUUUCUGCUACGCUCCAGCAUGCCUCCUGUACAGGCACAAGAGAAAAAAAAAAUAAAAAGGAAAAAAAGCAAAGUGUGUAAUUUUCCGCUUGAACCUUGAGCCAGAAGAAAUGAGCUGUCAGGCACUAGACAAGGUGAUCACUUGAUGUGAAAUGUCCUCCAUGGCACAAGAAGCCUUUGUCAUCUAUCCUUCACCUUCUUAUCCCUUUAAGAUGUUUGUAAAACAAAUCCUGUGUUUUGUUCUGGCUCCUUCGACUUUCUGUCCUCUGCUCUGGAAUGUGAAGAGAAGCUAGACAAAACAUCAGGGAGGAACUUUGGAGAAGGAGGAGACCUUCAAAGCCAUGCAGCCUCCUCAAGGACGAGAAUUGCAAUCCACUUCUGUAUUUGCAGUUUACAUGAAAAACUUCCAAUUAUCAUAAUAAAACACACACUGAAACUGUCCAUGUGUUAGCAGAAAUUUAAACUUCCAGCUCUUCAUUCUGGAAUCUGUUCUCAGUCAGAGUGUGUUAAAAAAUUCACCCUUGCUCAUAUUGCCUGAACUGACUUAAGAUGAGCAAUGAUUUUGGCACUGGAUUUUGUUUGCUUGCUUGAAAUUUUUGUCAGGGCCAUGGAGAUAAACAAGCAAUUAAUUGAUAAAGCAUUACAGUAAUGUGUUUCAAUGGUUAAAUAUCUUGGUUUUAACUAAAAUUAUUCUAAUCCUUAAUGCACCUUCUGAACUGUUUUUACCUUAAAGUAGGAAAAAAACUUUGAAAUCUCUUUACAGAUAUGUUCUUUGUUUUAAAGACAAAAAAAAAAAAAAAAAAGACGUUUCAAAAUAAAUGGCUUAUGUCUUGGGGAGUGUUAAUGAGAGAAGACAUUUCCAAAGAGACUCCAGAGUGACAAUAGCACACGGAUUGUGGUGGUUCCACAAGUGCAGAACUGCCCCCAGCAGUGAACACCCACUGAAGUGAAGCAAAGCACAGCCAGGAGGAAGGGAGGCAGAGAGGGGGAGAAAGAGGGAGGGAGAGAGAGAGAAAGGAAGAGAAGGAAAAAAAUACCCAAACUGUUGCAAGUUCAUGCACCCCUAUUACAAAUUCAUUUUAAUUAAACAAAGAGAUUAUACAGACAUUGCUGACAGGGAUUAUCAAAAUAGAAUGGCGCCACCUGCCCCUUGCAGCCCAAUUAAUUAGCAGAGAAUCUGAGGUGCCAAUUACCACAAAGGAAUAAGAAAGGAUCAGUAAACACAGCUCGUGAUGAACUUGAAAAUUAACUCUUUCAGCUCACAACUGAAGUCCCAGAGCCUCACAUACAGCCCUGAUGCUGCUACAGCCCUCCAAAAGGCCCACACUGAAAAGACAACAGGCUUCUCUAGAUCCCUCUUUCCCAUGGUUUUGUGAAGUAUGACCACUCCUGCUCUUCAUGAAGUCCCCAGGGCAAUUUUAAAAAUUAGGCCAUUAAAUUUUAAUAGCAGAUAAAGUCAUUUAAGAUUGAAAAGGUUCCUCAAAAUAAAAGACAGACUUCUUACUGUCUUUUGAGGUACAUCAGGAAAAUGCAGAUUACUUCUCAUGCCAUAUCAGAGAGGUUUUAAGACGAGAUCCUGAGUAGAAUUCCAGUUACUGACAGGUAACAGGUAAAAGUUUUAGUUUUCUAGGAAGUAGGUAUUGCUCAUAGGUGCUUGACUCCUUCUCUCCCUCCUCACAUAACAAUCUUCUCUUUCAAGGUCUUGAGUAGGAUACCCAAAAUUGCAAUCUAUUUUCCUGGGCAAUCCAGAGUCCACCAAAGUAGUCCAGAAACUAAACUGCUGGCUUUGGAUCUAUGCAGUAUGAGCCAUUACCAAAGACACUGCUGUGCCCAGUCUGCCUCAGCACUUGCACAACUGGCUGGUGACAGCCCUGGGGAGGGAAGAGCUACUGCCAUUUGCCCUCCCCUGGUAUAAAUCCCAUAUCACUGUCAGCAGAACUUCCUCCUCCUUCUAGAGGUUCAAAAGUGUAAUGCCCUCAGUCAAUGGAUGUGAAGCUGUGCCAUAAGGAGGAAUCAGAAAGUACCCUGUGUGUGGGAACUCGGUAUUUUUCCCAGUAGUUGGAGGAAAGACACUGAGGAAUGAAACCUUCAACUUGCCCUCCUCAGAAGAGUAAGGUGAUCUGCUGCCUUUUGGGGCAGGUAAUGCUGGCAUGUCUUAUGCAAACUUAUAAUCACAGCUUAACCUUCCUUCAUGGUUUCCUGGAGGCCAUAAAAACAAACGAACAAUGAUAUGCAAAGCCACAGAAGCAAAAAAAGGC
rnacentral:lncRNA from 1 species